rnacentral:rRNA from 1 species
AAAAAAUUAUACGGAGAGUUUGAUCCUGGCUCAGGAUGAACGCUGGCGGCGUGCUUAAUACAUGCAAGUCGAACGGAGACAGUAGCAAUAUUGUCUUAGUGGCGAACGGGUGAGUAACGCGUUGGUGACCUGCCCCGAAGAGAGGGAUAGCAGUUCGAAAGGACUGAUAAUACCUCAUGUGGUUAUUGGUUUUAGAAUCCGAUAACUAAACGGAUUUAUUCGCUUCGGGAGGGGCCUGCGUCCCAUCAGCUAGUUGGUAAGGUAAUGGCCUACCAAGGCGAUGACGGGUAGGGGACCUGAGAGGGUGGCCCCCCACAAUGGAACUGAAACACGGUCCAUACACCUACGGGUGGCAGCAGUAGGGAAUAUUAGAAAUGGACGAAAGUCUGAUCUAGCAACACCGCGUGUGCGA